UGUAACAAAAGAUUAGUCCUCUUGCUCGGUGAAUACCUGCUGAUCACGGGGCUGGGAGGCUCCAGGAGAAUGAGGGGUUGCGCUUUUAUAAGCCCCACAGAGCAGCCGGCCACCAGGCAGGACCCGCGUGGUGGACAGAUGUGCUGGCUUGAACGUUUUUCUUUGCGUCUUCCUGCUGCGCUCAAGUGGAGUUUCGGGAAACCUUCAGGAUGGCAGUGUCCUUGUUAUGCUUGGAGAGCCGGGCAGCCAGGAAGGAGAAGGGGGAGAGCGCCCCGGGCGGUGGCAAAGGCCACACCCCCGGGGAAGGGAGCCUCGUGGGCCGUGUGGGCCUCUCCCCGCCGACCCGUGCUGUGAACCCACACUCUGCCCUCUCUGCAGCGGUGAGAUGGGCCCCGCGAUUCUGGGGAAAGAAUUUAAAAAAUGAUCAAUAUAAAAAAACAUCAAUUCUGGACAAAAUCCUUCAAAACAUUGGAAAAUCUUCAGGGAGCUCUUCCCAGUAAGUGGAAGAGAAGGGUGAAGCUCCGAGGAGACGCAGAGGACGGUCAGCAAGGCCACCUGCCCCGAGGGAGCUCCCUAAGCAGGAAACUCCAGACUUCGUGAGACCCCACAGCCCCACCCUCAGGAAUAAAGAGCAUAUAUGUGCACAUACUGUUAA